rnacentral:rRNA from 1 species
ACGGAAGGCAGCAGUAGGGAAUAUUGCACAAUGGGGGGAACCCUGAUGCAGCAACGCCACGUGUGGGAAGAAGCAUUUCGGUGUGUAAACCACUGUCGUGAGGGAAUAAUGCUUGGCUCCGGCCAAGUUGAAUGUACCUCGAAAGGAAGCACCGGCAAACUUCGUGCCAGCAGCCGCGGUAAUACGAGGGGUGCAAGCGUUGUUCGGAAUCACUGGGCGUAAAGGGAGCGUAGGCGGAGACGCAAGCAGUCUGUACAAUACCGGGGCCCAACCCCGGACCUGCAGACUGGACUGUUUCUCUUGGAUAGUUCAGGGGCAAGCGGAAUUCCUGGUGUAGCGGUAGAAUGCGUAGAGAUCAGGAAGAACACCGAUGGCGAAGGCAGCUUGCUGGGGACUUAUCGACGCUCAUGCUCGAAAGUGCGGGUAGCAAACAGGAUUAGAUACCCUGGUA